AUUUACCAAUGUAGCAGAAUCCUUGAUAAGCCAAAUCAAUAAAAGAUACAAAACAAAAGAUGACAUCAAGUCUACAAGAAAAUUAAAGGAGUCUUUGAUUAACAGUGGUUUUUCAAACAAACCUGUUGUACAACUCAGUAAGGCAUGUCAUGUUUAACUGAAACAUAACUUGAGGUUUCCUGAAGAAAAAGUUCAGAAAAAAAGCUACAGAAAACUGAAGACUACCUUUGUUAAUGUUACUUCUGAAUGCCCAGUGAAUGAUGUUUACAAUUUUAAUUUGAAUGGAGCUGAUGACCCUAUCAUAAAACUUGGAAUCCAAGAGUUUCAAGCUACAGCUAAAGAAGCUUGUGCGGAUAGGUCAAUUAGAUUGGUAGGUCCAAGGAAUCAUGAUGAACUUAAAUCUUCUGUCAAAACAAAAGAUAAAAAAAUUAUAACAAAUCAUCAAAAGAAAAAUCUGUUUAGUGAUACUGAAACAGAGUACAGAUGUGAUGACAGCAAGACUGAUAUUAGCUGGCUAAGAGAACCGAAAUCAAAACCACAGCUAAUAGACUAUAGCAGAAAUAAAAAUGUGAAGAAUCAUAAAAGUGGAAAAUCAAGAUCAUCCUUGGAAAAGGGACAGCCAAGCUCUAAAAUGGAGGAGAAUAUCCAUUCCAGAAUGAAAACGGUAAAGCUACCAAAGAAACAACAGAAAGUCUUCUGUGCUGAAACAGAAAAGGAACUAUCAAAACAAUGGAAAAACUCAUCUCUACUAAAAGAUGCUAUACGAGAUAAUUGCCUUGACUUAUCUCCCAGAUCUUUAUCUGGCAGUCCAUCAUCUAUAGAAGUAACGAGAUGUAUAGAGAAAAUAACAGAAAAGGAUUUUACUCAGGAUUAUGACUGCAUAACAAAAUCUAUAUCACCUUAUCCAAAAACUUCAUCACUUGAAUCCUUAAAUAGUAACAGUGGAGUUGGAGGUACAAUAAAGUCACCCAAAAACAAUGAGAAAAACUUCCUGUGUGCAAGUGAAAGUUGUUCACCAAUUCCACGACCACUGUUUUUG
rnacentral:lncRNA from 1 species